rnacentral:rRNA from 1 species
UACGGAGGGUGCAAGCGUUAUCCGGAUUCACUGGGUUUAAAGGGUGCGUAGGUGGGAAUGUAAGUCAGUGGUGAAAUCUCCGUGCUUAACAUGGAAACUGCCAUUGAUACUAUGUUUCUUGAAUUUUCUGGAGGUCAGCGGAGUAUGUCAUGUAGCGGUGAAAUGCUUAGAUAUGACAUAGAACACCAAUUGCGAAGGCAGCUGACUACAGGGACAUUGACACUGAGGCACGAAAGCGUGGGGAUCAAACAGG